rnacentral:rRNA from 1 species
AGCAGCCGCGGUAAUUCCAGCUCCAAUAGCGUAUAUUAAAGUUGCUGCAGUUAAAAAGCUCGUAGUUGAAUUUCGGGACCAUCAUGUCGGUCGUGCCUCGGUACGUACUGGCAUUGUUGGUUUCUCCCUUCUGACGAACCAUGAUGUCAUUUAUUUGGUGUUGUGGGAAAUCAGGACUGUUACUUUGAAAAAAUUGAGUGUUUAAAGCAGGCUCACGCUUGAAUACAUUAGCAUGGAAUAAUGAAAUAGGACGUUUGAUUCUAUUUUGUUGGUUUCUAGGAUCGACAUAAUGAUUAAUAGGGAUAGUUGGGGGCAUUAGUAUUCAAUUGUCAGAGGUGAAAUUCUUGGAUUUAUUGAAGACUAACUACUGCGAAAGCAUUUGCCAAGGAUGUUUUCAUUAAUCAAGAACGAAAGUUAGGGGAUCGAAGACGAUCAGAUACCGUCGUAGUC